UCCCUCAACACCGACACCUCCGACACCACGCCCAGUAAUGCGACGUCGUCCCGACGCAGGUCGCGCACGCGCGGCGUGCUGGUGCAGGCGCUCGUGCAUCAACAUCCCAAGAGCAGCGGCAGCGGCUCGUCGUCGUAGGCGCCGCGCGUUACGUGCACCGCCAACGUUACCGCACUUUACAUUCAUUCUUAUUACUUAUUUUUUAUAAUGCCUUUUAGUUUUUUUUAUCAUUAAUACAUAAUGUGUUCACAUGGAA